rnacentral:misc_RNA from 1 species
AAGUCGUAACAAGGUUUCCGUAGGUGAACCUGCGGAAGGAUCAUUAUCGAGUUUUGACUGGGUUGUAGCUGGCCUUUUGAGGCACCGUGCACGCCCUGCUCAUCCACUCUACACCUGUGCACUCACUGCGGGCUUCGGAUGGCGGAGCGGACCUUUACCGGUUUGCGAAGCGUCCGGGUCCGCGUUUAUCAUAAACACUUUAAAAGUAUCAGAAUGUGUAUCGCGAUGUAACGCAUCUAUAUACAACUUUCAGCAACGGAUCUCUUGGCUCUC